rnacentral:antisense_RNA from 1 species
CUUCAGCGAGCCCAGCCACAGCGGCCGGUCCGGUGCCCGCCCCUGGCCGUAGGUCGCCAGCAGCGCCUGUGCCUC